GGAGGGUGCAAGCGUUAAUCGGGAAUUACUGGGGCGUAAAGGGCGCGUAGGUUGCUAGUUUAGUCAGAUGUGAAAUAUCCGGGGCUUAACCUGGGACAUGCCAUCUGAAACUGGCUAGCUAGAGUACAGUAGAGGGAAGUGGAAUUUCCGGUGUAGCGGUGAAAUGCGUAGAUAUCGGAAGGAACAUCAGUGGCGAAGGCGACUUCCUGGACUGAUACUGACACUGAGGCGCGAAAGCGUGGGUAGCGAACAGGAUUAGAUACCCUGGUAGUCCACGCCGUAAACGAUGAGAACUAGCUGUAGGGCACGACAGUGCUUUGUAGCGUAGCUAACGCGCUAAGUUCUCCGCCUGGGGAGUACGGCCGCAAGGUUA
rnacentral:rRNA from 1 species